rnacentral:rRNA from 1 species
UACAGAGGUGGCAAGCGUUGUUCGGAAUUACUGGGCGUAAAGGGCGCGUAGGUGGCCUUCUUAGUCAGACGUGAAAUCCCCAGGCUUAACCUGGGAACUGCGUCUGAUACUGGAAGGCUCGAGUUCGGGAGAGGAAUGUGGAAUUCCAGGUGUAGCGGUGAAAUGCGUAGAUAUCUGGAGGAACACCGGUGGCGAAGGCGGCAUUCUGGACCGAAACUGACGCUGAGGCGCGAAAGCCAGGGGAGCAAACGGG